UAAAGUGAAGCAAACGCAUUGCAUUUCAUUUACACUGAAAAGAGAGUCUUAUCAAAGACCACUUUAA
rnacentral:tRNA from 1 species